rnacentral:rRNA from 1 species
UACGUAGGGUGCGAGCGUUGUCCGGAAUUAUUGGGCGUAAAGAGCUCGUAGGCGGUCUGUCACGUCGGUCGUGAAAACUUGGGGCUUAACCCUGAGCUUGCGGUCGAUACGGGCAUGACUUGAGUUCGGCAGGGGAGACUGGAAUUCCUGGUGUAGCGGUGAAAUGCGCAGAUAUCAGGAGGAACACCGGUGGCGAAGGCGGGUCUCUGGACCGAUACUGACGCUGAGGAGCGAAAGCGUGGGGAGCGAACAGG